rnacentral:rRNA from 1 species
AUUGAACGCUGGCGGCAGGCCUAACACAUGCAAGUCGAGCGGAUGAAGGGAGCUUGCUCCUGGAUUCAGCGGCGGACGGGUGAGUAAUGCCUAGGAAUCUGCCUGGUAGUGGGGGAUAACGUCCGGAAACGGGCGCUAAUACCGCAUACGUCCUGAGGGAGAAAGUGGGGGAUCUUCGGACCUCACGCUAUCAGAUGAGCCUAGGUCGGAUUAGCUAGUUGGUGGGGUAAAGGCCUACCAAGGCGACGAUCCGUAACUGGUCUGAGAGGAUGAUCAGUCACACUGGAACUGAGACACGGUCCAGACUCCUACGGGAGGCAGCAGUGGGGAAUAUUGGACAAAGGGCGAAAGCCUGAUCCAGCCAUGCCGCGUGUGUGAAGAAGGUCUUCGGAUUGUAAAGAACUUUAAGUUGGGAGGAAGGGCAGUAAGUUAAUACCUUGCUGUUUUGACGUUACCAACAGAAUAAGCACCGGCUAACUUCGUG